rnacentral:lncRNA from 1 species
CAUGUCAUAAAGCAAGUUCCCAACCUAAGAGCUGCCACAUAUUAAGUGCCCAGGAGCUGAUUGAUAAUAUCCUGGUUAUUCUCUGAAUAUCUAAGGCAUGGUAGACUCUGCUGCUGACUGCUUCUGGUUCCGGUCCACCUUAGUCUCACCCCUACCAGCACAUACAGGAGACCCAGGACUCUAGAGGACAAGCUCUACUUUGGAGUCAGCCUGCUGUGGAUCCUGUUCUGCUGUGUUCACCUGAUGGUAAUGGGUCAUCCUCUGGACACCAUCUGAACACUAAGAACAGCUACGCUGUCCUCUCCUAUGGGCUGUGGAGCAUUGGAAGUAGGGAGCCUAGAACUAAGCAGCCAUCAGAUAGGACCCUUGAGUUUCCAGCUCAGGCCCAGUCUUUUCCUACUGGGAUUGCAGCUAAGUAGGACACCUGUGUCCUGAAUAACAUAGCUUAGCUCCACCCCCUCUAUCUUCUUGUUUAUGCUCUGAAAGCCACCAACAAGACCCAAGGAAAGGUGCACUCCUGAGCCACUUUAGCGUUUUAAUAGGAUCCAGCUCUUCAGAGGGGGCCUAUGAAGGAUUGCCUUGAUACCCAGAAGGAAGCCCUGUUAGUUUCCUAUGAAUGGAGAGGUAUAGAACAGCAAAGGCAAUGGGGAGUGAGGGGCUAUGCCUGUGUUACUAAAAAUUUCAGUCUCAAGGAGUUGUCUGGUCAAGAUUCUGGAGACACCAUAAGGUCUUCCAAAAAGAUCCAUUUCACCUUGGUCUGAAUUUCGGACAUCGACUUUGAUCCCAAGAGAUCCUUUGACUUGGCAGAGACAGACAGAGUCCUGAGAAGAUAACUACUUGCCUUAUCAACCAUCCUGGAAGAAAACAAAACUAUCUACAAGAGUGUGAGAAUCAGCCUCUCUUUCUCAGCAUUGGUCAUUCCUAAAAGAUAUGGAAGAGAGCGCACACUUGGCAGGGAAUCCAGCAGCACUGUGUCUUCCUGGGCUACUGUAGCCAUUCCUAUAGGAAAAUCUCCACGGUGCAGGCAGUUUUGACAUCACCUAUUUUGAAUAUGGGCUCGUCAGACCGCUGGUCUCCCACCCUGCUCCACCUGUGAAGACGGCAACUUUCCUCUCUCCUCAGCAAGCAGGAUGAUGGAGGGGGCUGAGCAGCCCUGCUCAGAUUGGACCACUUGGCAUUUAAGUGAAGGCUGGAAGCAUUGCUCCUUCUUCUUCAUUCUGGACAUAAACUUCUUAACGCUGAGGAAAAUUAUAUUGUCUAAAAUUCCAAAAUUUUUGUUUUUUAAUGUUUAAU